GCGGGUGUAGCUCAGUGGUAGAGCACUGGCUUCCCAAGCCAGCUACGAGGGUUCGAUUCCCUUCACCCGCUCCA
rnacentral:tRNA from 4 species